rnacentral:rRNA from 1 species
AGUUUGAUCAUGGCUCAGAUUGAACGCUGGCGGCAUGCUUUACACAUGCAAGUCGAACGGUAACAGGCCUUCGGGUGCUGACGAGUGGCGAACGGGUGAGUAAUGCAUCGGAACGUGCCCAAUCGGUGGGGAUAACGUAGCGAAAGUUACGCUAAUACCGCAUAAGCCCUGAGGGGGAAAGUGGGGGACCGCAAGGCCUCACGCGAAUGGAGCGGCCGAUGUCAGAUUAGCUAGUUGGUGGGGUAAAGGCCCACCAAGGCGACGAUCUGUAGCGGGUCUGAGAGGAUGAUCCGCCACACUGGAACUGAGACACGGUCCAGACUCCUACGGGAGGCAGCAGUGGGGAAUUUUUCGCAAUGGGCGCAAGCCUGACGAAGCAACGCCGCGUGGAGGAUGAAGGUCUUCGGAUUGUAAACUCCUGUCGACCGGGACGAAUGCACUCGACCUAAUACGUCGGAAUGUUGACGGUACCGGUGGAGGAAGCCACGGCUAACUCUGUG